UGGCGCGUGCGCGCGCUGGAGGCCGUUGCACAGCGCUUAGUGCGGGGCCCCGCUCCCUUGCAGACGCGGCCAGGACCGCUAGGCUGGGCAGACCGCGAGGGGGCGCGGGGCCGCGCUCAACUCGGGUGUGUGUAGACCGUCGAGGAUCGCGCCUCGGGCGGCUGCGCGCUACCUCCCUGCACCCAGGCCCCGCCAACAGCGAAACGGAGCAGCGGCGCGGGUCUCCGGGGCGAGGGCGCGGUGUGGAGAGACACUCGGGCUCCGCCGCCGGCGCCUGCGCACUCCGCGCGGCCCCCAGACGGAGUUCUCCAGGGCGCAGAUUACCAUGGCUGCGGGAGUCGUGCCACCCAGUGAACCACCAUACUCUGUGCUGGUGAAUAACAGUGGGUAUGCGGCAUACGUGAAGGGUAAUGUCUCUUUAAUACAUUUUUAUCCCUUUGUGUAAGUGUGUGAAUGAGUGUGGAAGCAGAGUC
rnacentral:lncRNA from 1 species